CAUUCAAGGUAUUCCAUCUAGGAGAGAUCUUGGAUAUGGUACAAGGGAGUUCUUGGUGGUUGUGGGCAGAGGUUAGUAGGGGAUGUGAGCUCUUGAUUUGUGGCCAUGCCUCAAGGUUAUGUCUGGUUUAGAGCACAUGGAAGCGUGUAGAAGGAUUUGUUGUAGUUUUGGCCAAG